AUUGAACGCUGGCGGCAUGCCUUACACAUGCAAGUCGAACGGCAGCACGGGAGCAAUCCUGGUGGCGAGUGGUGAACGGGUGAGUAAAGUAUCGGAACGUGCCCAGUCGUGGGGGAUAACGUAGCGAAAGUUACGCUAAUACCGAAUACGAUCUAUGGAUGAAAGCGGGGGAGCGCAAGACCUCGCGCGAUUGGAGCGGCCGAUAUCAGAUUAGGUAGUUGGUGGGGUAAAGGCUCACCAAGCCGACGAUCUGUAGCUGGUCUGAGAGGACGACCAGCCACACUGGGACGGAGACACGGACCAGACUCCUACGGGAGGCAGCAGUGGGGAAUUUUGGACAAUGGGCGAAAGCCUGAUCCAGCCAUGCCGCGUGCAGGAUGAAGGCCUUCGGGUUGUAAACUGCUUUUGUACGGAACGAAAAGGUUUGGCCUAAUAAGCUGAGCUCAUGACGGUACCGUAAGAAUAAGCACCGGCUAACUACGUGCCAGCCGCCGCCGUAAAAC
rnacentral:rRNA from 1 species